GGCCGCCCUCACCACCGGCACCCGCGGCAGCCGCCUCCUCUUCUCCCGCGGGCUGGGGGCCCCGCCGGGCGGGGGGGGCGCCGCCGCCAUGCGCAGCCCGCAGCUUCGGCAGGCGCCUCAGGCAUGGGGAAUCGGGUGUCACUACAGCGAGGCAGCGCUAGGAGACUGCAGACGGAUCCGGUGUCACAGAGCCCCCUCCACCCUCUGCCAGGGCCCUGCUGGUUGGAUCGGAUAAGCUGUAGGUCAGGGAUCAGGUUUACUUGGGAAUGGCAGAGAUGGAACUGUUGGACAUCCCUGGCAUUGUCUCAGAAGAGAAAGGAUGAGGCCGUUGCUUCAGAAGGCCCAUGAUCCUUGAAUGCUCUUCCUCAACAAUAUGCAGCAGACUACAGGAGAUGGC